rnacentral:rRNA from 1 species
UACGUAGGGUGCAAGCGUUGUCCGGAAUUAUUGGGCGUAAAGAGCUCGUAGGCGGUUUGUCGCGUCUGCUGUGAAAACUCGGGGCUUAACCCCGGGCCUGCAGUGGGUACGGGCAGACUAGAGGUAGGUAGGGGAGAAUGGAAUUCCCGGUGUAGCGGUGAAAUGCGCAGAUAUCGGGAGGAACACCGGUGGCGAAGGCGGUUCUCUGGGCCUUACCUGACGCUGAGGAGCGAAAGCGUGGGGAGCGAACAGG